rnacentral:lncRNA from 1 species
CUUUUUAUAAAAGGGUGUCAAGGAAGGGUAAUCAAUUUUCAAGGAAGAAAAUGCAUCAACGGUUUAGCACACAACUCCUAUCACCUAAUGCAUCAUACAAGGUGAUAAAGAUUUUACAAUAGCAAGGAGGUGGCAAAUGCACCAGGGCUUGCCUGGAUAACACUAGGUUAGUGUUGUUAGACGAUGUCCGCUUGAUGACCAUCUUUUGUCCUAGCACUUGAUCCGGCAGGUUCGUCCACCAGCAUCACUAUGCGGAGUAGUCCACCUGUUACGUCAUCUUGGGGUCGACUCAGCUCGUGAUUAAUAAGCGUACCUAAAUGAUUUGCAUAAUGCACAUGAAUGCAUAUAAACAGGAAUAACAUAAAUCUAAAUAGUGCUACGCGAUAGCGAAUUAAACACCUAGUGAUGAGGCGCUGUACAAUUUCAUACGGAGACACUAGUUUCGUCGUACGACUACGUGCAAUAGUUGUGCCUUUCUAGCUUAACCAAAUCUAAUUCAAACAUCAUAGAGUUCUACAAAACGAUCUUCUAAACAACCAAAGAUCUAACCCGCUUAUGCGCAUUCUCCACUAAUAGUCCUUGGGUUUUCACAGGAAUAGACUUAUCGAUGUUCUUCGCUUCCUAAAUAUUUUGUGUAACCACCAUUAUAUAUUUAUAACACUUAACCAGUCAACAAACAUAGAGUUUUUCAUAAGAUCAUAAUUUAGAUCUCUAAGAGUUAAAUCCUUAAGGUGUAAAGCUUACUAUGUAGUUCUCAGAAUUCACCUAAGGCGAACCUUAUGGUGAUACUUGCUCUAAACUAAUUAAAAUAUUGAUGAACAUUUAUUCAUGACAAUUUACUUAAGUGACCAAAUUCAAAUAUGACAUUUAAUUGAUCGAUAAACAUGGAAUUCGACAACUACUAAGGUGAUGCACCAUUCCACCACUUAAUCAAAAUUAGCAUAAUCAAUUUUUAAAAGAACCUAUCGACUAGUCGUUAGAGACACUAGACCUAUUCCUCAUAUUAUUACUUCGACCACUCAUCGGGUACGAAACACCGAUUUAAUUCUUCUCGCAUAACCUGUGUCAUUAAACCUAAACUUAGCUACGCGAAAUGAGACGCCUCUAUAAGCAUUUUAUGCAUCAUUAUACUAUAAAAAGAAAACAAAGGAAGGGAGAUCCUUCCAAAGACGCUUUAGAGGAUCAGCAAGUAACAGGUACGACUACCGAUCUGGAAAUUGUCACACAAUGUGCCUAUGCUAACAACAAGAAAAAUCAUUGUGGCUAUAUAACUAUCCAAUUAAAUUAACUGAAAUAAUAAAUUGGCUCACCACGAUCGAAUCGAUUUGAUAACCGCGAGGGCGACGACGGCUCUCAGUUUAGACAUCCGGUCGAGCUCCUUGCACUUGUUGCACGGACUUCUCUCACAUUUUUAUUGAACUCCAGGAUCACUCUCCGAAAGACAAAAUCGACGAUGAGCCCCAUGGAGUAAACGAUGAUGUUGCUGCACCCACCACAUGGAGACGAACGAUGGCAACGCCACAAUGGCACGAGCUGAAAGGCUUGGCCGAGACGGAGUCCAAACGGGUUGACGAUGAGCCAGGCCGCGACAGAUCAAGGCUGAGGCGCAGUAGUUCCAAAUUAAAUUAGGAGGAGACCGGCAAGCUGAUGGCGCUGGUUCUUGGAAAUCGGCGACGAGGCGAGCCAGCGCGAGGGUCAGGGACAAGUAGGGCGCAAGGACGCGCGACACCAUGGCAAGCUGGUCGGCCAUGGACGAGCAGGAAACAUCAGGGAGCAGCGACGGAUGUGCACGACCUGGGUACCAGAGGAGAGCUCGCGCCGCAGGGAGGAACCUCGGCUAGGUCUAGUUGGGAAAGAUGCGAGUCGCGGGGCGAGCAGACAGGAAGCGCUGGCGGGAACUCGAUCAGGCCGACAUCGAGCUGCAAAAAUGAACAGGGCGGUGUCC